rnacentral:lncRNA from 1 species
GAAGACUUCAGAAGCCACGGGAACGAACAGGAAGCCGAGAGGGCUCAGGGACAGGGCGCCCGCCCUACUCUCCUUGGCGCCUGCCCACUUCCAGAGUCCAAUCAGGACACGUUUCGCGGAUCACGCUCCACCGACCUAAAGGAUCAAGGAAAACAGUGCGAUUAAUGUCAGUUUGAUCCAACGGCCCAGAUUCAUCUAAAAAGACUAUAUAAUCAAGGCCCCCUAGCCCC